UACGUAGGGUGCGAGCGUUGCCCGGAUUUAUUGGGCGUAAAGGGCGCGCAGGCGGCUACGCACGUCCGUUGUGAAAUCGCUCGGCUCAACUGGGCGGGGUUAGCGGAUACGGCGUAGCUGGAGCAAGCUAGGGGGCAAUGGAAUUCCCGGUGUAGUGGUGGAAUGCGUAGAUAUCGGGAGGAACACCAGUGGCGAAGGCGGUUGCCUGGAGCUUUGCUGACGCUGAGGCGCGAAAGCGUGGGGAGCGAUCCGG
rnacentral:rRNA from 1 species